CGCGGUUGUUGAACAAAGAAAAUCACAGGAUUAGGAGAAAGCUGUUUUUCCUAUAAAAAUGAUAGAAAUUCAAGAUACAACCGUUGCAGAAAAAGUGAAAUACACGAGGAAGACAUUUUGAAAACUGAAUUAGAAGAGAAAAUGAUGGAGAGGUUAAAAAGACUUUCAACCACACAGAGAAAACAUGAACUUCCAACAGAAAAGAAUUACUGAUUUGAUCAUUGGUAGAUGUUUACAAGAAAAAGAAGUUUUACUAUCAAAGCAAAACCGUAAGGAUCAAGCCAAGUUGAAGAUCAGCAAAUAGGAAAAGAAUAGCAUUAUUAACAUCAUUAUUGAAAGAGGACUGGAGAUAAUGGGGGCUACUACAUUUAAUUCGAUAACCUUGUGUUGUGAUCCUAAGCUCGGAACUUGAGAUAUCCCAAAUACUUUCAAAUUUCUGGAUGUUUUUCUUGGUGACAUAGACAACAAAUAAGUAAAAAAAAAACUUAAAAGAUGAAAGACUUUGAUUAUUGAAAUGCGUAUUUUAAAGAUUUUGU